rnacentral:tRNA from 1 species
GGAAGAAUGGCUCAAGUGGUAGAGCAGUUGCCAAGAAAACAAAAGACCCUGAGUUCAAACCCCAGUACUACCA